AAGUCGUAACAAGGUUUCCGUAGGUGAACCUGCGGAAGGAUCAUUACUGAGAACCAUGCCCCUUGGGGUAUAUCUCCCACCCUUUGUUCACAAUACCUUUGUUGCUUUGGCGGGCCCGUCUUAUGACCACUGGCGUUAGCUUGUCUGUGCCUGCCAAAGGCCCUAAAACUCUUUAUUGUAUUGUCAGAGUACUAUAUUAAUAGUUAAAAACUUUCAACAACGGAUCUCUUGGUUCUGGCAUCGAUGAAGAACGCAGCGAAAUGCGAUAAGUAAUGUGAAUUGCAGAAUUCAGUGAAUCAUCGAAUCUUUGAACGCACAUUGCACCCUCUGGUAUUCUGGGGGGUAUGCCUGUUCGAGCGUCAUUACAACCCUCAAGCACUGCUUGGUAUUGGAUGCUACCACCUGGUGCAUCUCAAAAAAAUUGGCAGUGGCACUCAGCUUCUGGUGUAGUAAUUUUUCUCACCUAGGAGCCUUCGAGUGUCUUGCUGCUCAAACCCUCUAAUCAUCACAAAAGGUUGACCUCGGAUCAGGUAGGGAUACCCGCUGAACUUAAGCAUAUCAAUAAGCGGAGGAAAAGAAACCAACAGGGAUUGCCUUAGUAACGGCGAGUGAAGCGGCAACAGCUCAAAUUUGAAAUCUGGCCUCAUGGCCCGAGUUGUAAUUUGUAGAGGAUGCUUCGAGCAUGGUCUGGUCUAAGUUCCUUGGAACAGGACGUCAUAGAGGGUGAGAAUCCCGUAUGUGACUGGGUGCCUAAGCUCAUGUGAAGCUCCUUCAACGAGUCGAGUUGUUUGGGAAUGCAGCUCAAAAUGGCUGGUAAAUUUCAUCUAAAGCUAAAUAUUGGCCAGAGACCGAUAGCGCACAAGUAGAGUGAUCGAAAGAUGAAAAGCACUUUGGAAAGAGAGUUAAACAGUACGUGAAAUUGUUGAAAGGGAAGCGCUUGCAACCAGACUUGCAUGCAAUUGAUCAUCCAAUGUUCUCACUGGUGCACUCAUUGUAUUCAGGCCAGCAUCGGUUUUGGUGGUUAGAUAAAGGCCAAGGGAAUGUAGCUCCUCUUGGGGAGUGUUAUAGCCCUUGGUGCAAUGUAGCCUACUGGGACCGAGGACCGCGCUUCGGCUAGGAUGCUGGCGUAAUGGUUGUAAGCGACC
rnacentral:rRNA from 1 species